ACGGAAGGCAGCAGUGGGGAAUAUUGGGCAAUGGGCGAAAGCCUGACCCAGCAAUGCCGCGUGAAGGAAGAAGGUCUUCGGAUUGUAAACUUCUUUUAUGAGGGACGAAGGAAUUGACGGUACCUCAUGAGUAAGCCACGGCUAACUACGUGCCAGCAGCCGCGGUAAUACGUAGGUGGCAAGCGUUAUCCGGAUUUACUGGGUGUAAAGGGCGCGUAGGCGGGGAAGCAAGUCGGAUGUGAAAUCUAUGGGCUUAACUCAUAAACUGCAUUUGAAACUGUUUCUCUUGAGUGCUGGAGAGGGAGAUGGAAUUCCUAGUGUAGCGGUGAAAUGCGUAGAUAUUAGGAAGAACACCAGUGGCGAAGGCGAUCUACUGGACAGUAACUGACGCUGAGGCGCGAAAGCGUGGGGAGCAAACAGGAUUAGAUACCCUGGUA
rnacentral:rRNA from 1 species